UAGGGAAUCUUCCGCAAUGGACGAAAGUCUGACGGAGCAACGCCGCGUGAGUGAUGAAGGUCUUCGGAUCGUAAAACUCUGUUGUCAGGGAAGAACAAGUAUGGUAGUAACUGACCGUACCUUGACGGUACCUGACCAGAAAGCCCCGGCUAACUACGUG
rnacentral:rRNA from 1 species